rnacentral:rRNA from 1 species
GACGAACGCUGGUGGCGUGCUUAACACAUGCAAGUCGAACGGGAUUUAGUAAACAGAAGCCUCGGUGGAAGAUUACUAAUGAGAGUGGCGAACGGGUGAGUAACGCGUGGGCAACCUGCCUAUGACAGUGGGAUAGCCUCGGGAAACCGGGAUUAAUACCGCAUAAAAUCGUAGAAAAACAUGUUUUAACGGUCAAAGAUUUAUCGGUCAUAGAUGGGCUCGCGUCUGAUUAGCUAGUUGGUGAGAUAACAGCCCACCAAGGCGACGAUCAGUAGCCGGUCUGAGAGGAUGAACGGCCACAUUGGAACUGAGACACGGUCCAAACUCCUACGGGAGGCAGCAGUGGGGAAUAUUGCACAAUGGGGGAAACCCUGAUGCAGCGACGCCGCGUGAACGAAGAAGGUAUUCGUAUCGUAAAGUUCUGUCCUACGGGAAGAUAAUGACAGUACCAUAGAAGAAAGCUCCGGCUAAAUACGUG